UUCCAUGUGUAGCGGNGAAAUGCGUAGAUAUAUGGAGGAACACCGGUGGCGAAAGCGGCUCUNUGGUCUGUCACUGACGCUGAGGCUCGAAAGCGUGGGUAGCGAACAGGAUUAGAUACCCUGGUAGUNCACGCCGUAAACGCUGAGUGCUAGGUGUUAGGUCCUUUCCGGGACUUAGUGCCGACGCUAACGCAUUAAGCACUCCGCCUGGGGAGUACGACCGCAAGGUUGAAACUCAAAGGAAUUGACGGGGGCCCGCACAAGCGGUGGAGCAUGUGGUUUAAUUCGAAGCAACGCGAAGAACCUUACCAGGUCUUGACAUCCCGAUGCCCGCUCUAGAGAUAGAGUUUUACUUUUUGUACAUCGGAGACAGGUGGUGCAUGGUUGUCGUCAGCUCGUGUCGUGAGAUGUUGGGUNNNNNNNNNNNNNCGAGCGCAACCCUUAUUGUUAGUUGCCAUCAUUAAGUUGGGCACUCUAGCGAGACUGCCGGUAAUAAACCGGAGGAAGGUGGGGAUGAUGUCAAAUCAUCAUGCCCCUUAUGACCUGGGCUACACACGUGCUACAAUGGUUGGUACAACGAGUCGCAAGCCGGUGACGGCAAGCUAAUCUCUGAAAGCCAAUCUCAGUUCGGAUUGUAGGCUGCAACUCGCCUACAUGAAGUCGGAAUCGCUAGUAAUCGCGGAUCAGCACGCCGCGGUGAAUACGUUCCCGGGCCUUG
rnacentral:rRNA from 1 species